UGCGUAGGCGGGAAAUUAAGUCAGUGGUGAAAUCCUACAGCUUAACUGUAGAACUGCCAUUGAAACUGAUUUUCUUGAGUGCAGCUGAGGUGGGCGGAAUGUGUAAUGUAGCGGUGAAAUGCUUAGAUAUUACACAGAACACCAAUUGCGUAGGCAGCUCACUAAACUGUAACUGACGCUAAGGCACGAAAGCGUGGGGAGCGAACAGGAUUAGAUACCCUGGUAGUCC
rnacentral:rRNA from 1 species